AAGCGCACAUGGUAAGGACAGGAUAGACAUUUGCUGUAUUAAGACCACGCGUGUGUCCCCAGACCUGGUUCUCUCCCUAUGUCUGCUUUCAUAAACACUGGUGAUCAAA
ensembl:snoRNA SNORA72 Small nucleolar RNA SNORA72